UCAAAUCCAACUUUACAGUUUCCUUCGAAUCCAUCUAUUUAAAAAAGUGCGAGUAAAAGGAAAACAAUGUACCACAUAUAUAUUUUUACAGUCUCUCUUCAAUUUCACUUUACCUUUUCGACUUUGAGCUUUCCCUCUUCGAUAUCACUUUCCCUUUUCAAAAGUUCCGCUUCCAUCCUCCAUGCCCUUUUUUAAUUUGUGCUACCAUCUAGCAUGCACCUUGUCGCUGCUGAGGUGUGAGGUCCAAUGUAUCAAUAAUGUUUCUGCAUCGGGGCUGAAGUUUGUCAUCAUUGGGAGGAGGCGAACAUGCAACAUGCAAGCUACGAUGCCUAAGAAGAUCCACGAGAUUAAGGAUUUCUGAUAGCACGGAGGAAUGAUGCAACGUUGAUGAAAAUCGAGAGGGGCAGAGAUGUUCUUAAGUUCAAGGUUUGAUGCUCCAAGUAUUUGUACACGCUUUGUUAAGUUAAAGACCUGUAAAGGUGCUCAAUGCGACACCAUUAAUUUCUCUUUUUAUCCCUUCAUGUUCUGGAUUUGUAGCUUGGUUUUUACGUACUAGUAAUUAUUACGCAGUGAUGGUCUGGCAGAAGAUUUUUGUUCUCAA